rnacentral:lncRNA from 1 species
CUUCUCCGACAACACCUACAGCAUCUCCGACAACCACAGCCAUCCCCACAACCACAGACGGACACACAACAACCACAGAUGCACCAACAACAACCACAGAUGCACCCACAACAACCACAGAUGCAACCACAACAACCACAUCUUCUCCGACAACAACUACAGCAUCUACAACAUCUACAACAGCUUCCUCUUCAACCACCACAGCCAGCCCCACAUCAACCAGAGCUGCACCCACAUCAACCACAGCCAUCCCCACAACAACCACAGAUGCACACACAACAACCACAGCCAUCCCCACAACCACUGAAGCAGACACAACAACCACAGAUGCACACACAACAACUAAAGCAGCUUCGACAUCCACCGCCAUCCCCACAACAACUACAGCAUCUCACACAUCAACCACAUCUUCUCCGAAAAUCACUACAGCAGCUCCAACGACCACAACAGCUUCCUCUUCAACCACCACCACCAGCCCCACAUCAACCACAGCUGUUCACACAACAACCACAGAUGCACACACAACAACCACAGAUGCACCCACAACAACCACAUCUUCUCCGACAACACCUUCAGCAGCUCCGACAACCACAGCCAUCUCGAAAAGAACCACAGAUGCACACACAACAACCACAGAUGCACAACCCCCAUCCACAUUUUCUCUGACACCUACUACAGCAGCUCCCACAACAACUACUGCAAACCCCACAACAACCACUGCUGCUCCCACAACAACCACAGCUGCUACAACAACAAUCACAGCUGCACCCACAACAACCACAGCUGCACCCACAACAAACAGAGAUGAACCCACAACAACCACAUCUUCUCCAACAGCAACUACAGCAGCUCCAAUGACCACAGCAGCUUCCUCUACAACAACAACCACAGCUUCUAAAACAACAAUCAAAGCUGAUCCCACAAUAACCACAGAUGCACCCACAACAACCACAUCUUCUCCGACAACACCUACAGCAGCUCCAACAACCACAGUCAUCCCCACAACAACCACAGAUGCACAGACAUCAACCACCUCUUUUCCGACAACACCUACAGCAGUUCCGACAACAACAACCGUCCCUACAACAACCACAGAUGCACACACAACAACCACAUCUUCUCCGACAACAACUACAGCAGCUCCAAAGACCACAACAGCCAUCUCUACAACCACCACAGCUUCUACAACAACAACCAAAGCUGAUCCCUCAACAACCACAGAUGCACCCACAACAACCACAGAUGCACCCACAACAACCACAUCUUCUCUGACAACAACUACAGCAACUACAACAUCCACAACAGCUUCCUCUUUAACCACCACAGCCAGCCCCACAUCAACCACAGCUUCUUCCACAAUAACCACAGAAGCACCCACAACAACCACAGAAGCACCCACAACAUCCACAUCUCCGACAACACCUACAGCGGCUCCGACAACCACAGCCAUCUCCACAACAACCACAGACGCACACACAACAACAACGGAUGCACCCACAACAACCACAUUUUCUCCAACAACAGUUAUAGCAAAUCCAAUGACCACAACAGCUUCCUCUACAACCACCACAGCUUCUACAACAACCACAGCUUCUUCUACAACAACCACAGCUGCACCCACAACAACCACAUUUUCUCAGACAACAACCACAGCUAUCCCCACCAGAACCACAGCUUCAGCCAUACCAAACACAGCUGCACCCACAACAACCACAGAUGCACCCACAACAACCACAUCUUCUCCGACAACAACUAUAGAAUCUACAACAUCCAGAAAAGCUUCCACGACAACCACCACAGCCAGCCCCACAUCAACAACAGAUGCACCCACAACAACCACAGCUUCACCCACAACAACCACAGAAGCACCCACAACAACCACAUCUUCUCCGACAACACCUAUAGCAGCUCCGACAGCAACAACCGUCCCCACAACAACCACAGAUGCACCCACAACAACCACAUCUUCUCCGGCAACAACUACAGCAUCUGCGACAACCACAGCCAUCCCCACAAAAACCACAGCCAGCCCCACAACAACCACAGCUUCAGCCAUAACAACCACAUCUUCUACAACAACAACCAAAGCUAAUCCCACAAUAACCACAGCUGCUCCCACAACAACAACAACUGUACCACUAUCAACAAUAGCUGCAGCUACUACAAACACAGCCUUCCCGACAACAACCACAGCUGCUCCCACAACAACCACACAUGCACACACACCAACCACAUCUUCUCUGACAACAACUACAACAUCCACAACAGCUUCCUCUACCACCACCACUGCCAGCCCCACAUCAACCACAGCUGCACCCACAACAACCACAGCUGCACCCACAACAACCACAGAAGCACACACAACAACCACAAAUGCACCCACAACAGCCACAUCUUCUCCGGCAACAACUACAGCAGCUCAGAAAACCACCGCCAUCCCCACAACAACAACAGCUAUCCCCACAACAACCACAGCUUCAGCCAUAACAACCACAGCUGCACCCACAACAACCACAGAAGCACCCACAACAACCACAUCUAUUCCUACAACACCUACAGCAGCUCUGACAACCACAGCCAUCCCCACAACAACGACAGAUGCACACACAACAACCACAGAUGCACCCACAACAACCACAGCUGCUCCCACAACAACCACAUCUUACCCGACAACAUCCUCGGCGGCUCCCAAAACAACCACAACCUCUCCCACAACCACAACAGCUUCCCUUACAACAACCACAGCUUCCCCCAAUACAACCACAGCUGCAGCUACAACAAGUACAGCUGCACCCACAACAACCACACCUUCUCCAACCGCAAUAACAGAUGCUGCUACAACAACAGCUUCUAUCACAACAGCUUCGGCCACAAUAUCCACAGCUUCUCCCACCACAACAUCUACUCCAACAACGACCACAUCUUCUCCCACAACAACCACAGUUGCUGCUGCAACAAAAGCUGAGGCUACAACAUUCGAAGCCCUGUCCACAUCAACUACAGCAGCUCCCACAACAACCACAGCUGCACCCACAAAAACCACAGCGGCUCCCACAACUACAGCUGCUCCCACAACCACAACAGUUUCCCUUACUACAACCACAGCUUCCCCCAAUACAACCACAGCUGCACCCACAACAACCACACCUGUUCCAACCAUAAUCACAGCUGUUGCAACAACAACAGCUUCUAUCACAACAACAACAGCUUCGACGACAACAACCACAGCUUCUACCACAACAACUUCAGCGGGUCCCACUACAACCACAGUGGCUCCCACUACAACCACAGUCGCUCCCACUACAACCACAGUGGCUCCCACUACAACCACAGUGGCUCCCACUACAACCACAGCGGCUCCCACUACAACCACAGCGGCUCCCACUAAAUCCACAGCGGCUCCCACUACAACAGCUCCCUCAGCAACAUCAAAAGCUGAUGUAACAACCAGCACUGCUGGCCCUACCACAACCACAACUAAACCCAAAACCACCACAACUUCUCCCACAACCACAACAGAUUCACUUACAACAACCACAACUGAUCCCACAAUGUCAACAGCAACACCAAUACCAUCUACAGUUUCAACAAGCACAGCUGUGGCUACAAUAAUCACAGCUGCAUCAAUAAACACAGCUUCUCCCACCACAACAUCUACUCCCACAACAACCACAGCUUACCCCACAACUACCACAGCAGCUCCCACAACAUCCACAGCGACUCCCACAACAAUCACAGCGGCUCCCACAACAAACACAGCGUCUCCCACUACAACCACAGUGGCUCCCACUUCAACCACAACGUCUCCCACUACAACCACAGCGGCUCCCACUACAACCACAGCGGGUCCCACUACAACCACAGCGGCUCCCACUACAACAACAGCAGCUCCCACUACAACCACAGCUGCUCCCACUACAACAGAUCCCAUAGCAAUAACAACAGCUGAUGUAACAACCACCACUGCUGGCCCUACCACAACCACAGCUAACCCCAAAACAACCACAACUUUUCCCACAACCACAACAGCUUCCCUUACAACAACCACAAUUGCUGCUACAACAAAAGCUGAGGCUACAACAUUCGAAGCCCUGUCCACAUCAACCACAGCAGCUCCCACAACAACCACAGCGUCUCCCACAACAACCACAGCGGCUCCCACAACAACCACUGCUGAUGUUACAACAACCACAGCGUCUCCCAUAACAACCACAGCUGCUCCCACAACAACCACAGCUGAUGUUACAACAACCACAGCUGCUCCCACAACGACCACAGCUGCUCCAACAACAACCACAACAGCUUUCCUUACAUCAGCAGCUGGUCCGACAGCGAUCACAGCAGCACCAAUGAUGUCUACGGAUGCGGCUUCAAUGAGCACAACUGUGGCUACAGCAAUCACAGCUGCACCCACAACAACCACAACUUCUCCCACCACAACAUCUACUCCAACAGUGACCACAUCUGCUCCCACAACAACCACAGUUGCUGCUACAACAAAAUCUGACUCUACAACAUUCAAAGCCCUGUCUACAUCAACCACAGCAGCUCUCACAACAACCACAGCGGCUCCCACAACAACCACAGCUGAUGUUACAACAACCACAGCAACUCCCACAACAACCACAGCUGCUCCCACAACAACCACAGCUGAUGUUACAACAACCACAGCGUCUCCCACAACAACCACAGCUGCUCCAACAACAACCACAGCUGAUGUUACAACAACCACAGUGUCUCCCACAACGACCACAUCUGCUCCAACAACAACCACAACUUAUCCCAAAACUACAGCAUCUCCCACAACCACAACAGCUUCCCUUACAACAUCAACAGCUGGUCCGACAACUAUCACAGCAGCACCAAUGAUGUCUACGGAUGCGGCUUCAACGAGCACAGCUGUGGCUACAGCAGUCACAGCUGCACCCACAACAACCACAGCUUCUCCCACCACAACAUCUACUCCAACAGUGACCACAUCUGCUCCCACAACAACCACAGUUGCUGCUACAACAAAAUCUGAGGCUACAACAUUCAAAGCCCUGUCUACAUCAACCACAGCAGCUCUCACAACAACCACAGCGGCUCCCACAACAACCACAGCUGAUGUUACAACAACCACAGCAACUCCCACAACAACCACAGCUGCUCCCACAACAACCACAGCUGAUGUUACAACAACCACAGCGUCUCCCACAACAACCACAGCUGCUCCAAAAACAACCACUGCUGAUGUUACAACAACCAAUGCAGCUCCCACAACAACCACAGCUGAUGUUACAACAACCACAGUGUCUCCCACAAUAAUCACAGCUGCUCCCACUACAACCACAGUUGCAGCUACAACAAGUACAGCUGCACCCACAACAACCACACCUUCUCCAACCGCAAUUACAGAUGCUGCUACAACAACAGCUUCUAUCACAACAGCUUCUGCCACAAUAACCACAGCUUCUCCCACCACAACAUCUACUCCAACAACGACCACAUCUUCUCCCACAACAACCACAGUUGCUGCUGCAACAAAAGCUGAGGCUACAACAUUCGAAGCCCUGUCCACAUCAACCACAGCAGCUCCCACAACAACCACAGCGUCUCCCACAACAACCACUGCUGAUGUUACAACAACCACAGCAUCUCCCAUAACAACCACAGCUGCUCCCACAACAACCACAGCUGAUGUUACAACAACCACAGUGUCUCCCACAACGACCACAGCUGCUCCAACAACAACCACAACUUAUCCCAAAACUACAGCAUCUCCCACAACCACAACAGCUGAUUUUACAACAACCACAGCGUCUCCCACAACAACCACAGCUGCUCCAACAACAACCACUGCUGAUGUUACAACAACCACAGCGUCUCCCACAACAACCACUGCUGAUGUUACAACAACCACAGCAUCUCCCAUAACAACCACAGCUGCUCCCACAACAACCACAGCUGAUGUUACAACAACCACAGUGUCUCCCACAACGACCACAGCUGCUCCAACAACAACCACAACUUAUCCCAAAACUACAGCAUCUCCCACAACCACAACAGCUGAUUUUACAACAACCACAGCGUCUCCCACAACAACCACAGCUGCUCCAACAACAACCACUGCUGAUGUUACAACAACCAAUGCAGCUCCCACAACAACCACAGCUGAUGUUACAACAACCACAGUGUCUCCCACAAUAAUCACAGCUGCACCCACAACAACCACAGCUUCUCCCACCACAACAUCUACUCCAACAGUGACCACAUCUGCUCCCACAACAACCACAGUUGCUGCUACAACAAAAUCUGAGGCUACAACAUUCGAAGCCCUCUCCACAUCAACCACAGCAGCUCCCACAACAACCACAGCGGCUCCCACAACAACCACAGCGGCUCCCACAACAACCACAGCUUAUGUUACAACAACCACAGCGUCUCCCACAACAACCACAGCUGCUCCAACAACAACCACAGCGUCUCCCACAACAACCACAGUGUCUCCCACAGCAACCACAGCUGCUCCCACAACAACCACAACUUAUCCCAAAACUACAGCAUCUCCCACAACCACAACAGCUUCCUUUACAACAUCAACAGCUGGUUGGACAACGAUCACAGCAGCACCAAUGAUGUCUACGGAUGCGGCUUCAACGAGCACAGCUGUGGCUACAGCAGUCACAGCUGCACCCACAACAACCACAGCUUCUCCCACCACAACAUCUACUCCAACAACUACCACAUCUGCACCUACAACAACCACAGUGGCUGCUACAACAAAAGCUGAGGCUACAACAUUCGAAAUCCUGUCCACAUCAACCACAGCAGCUCUCACAACAACCACAAUUGCACCCACAAAAACCACAAAUGCUCCCAUAACUAAAGAAGAUCUCACAACAGUUUCCCUUACUACAACCGCAGCUUCCCCCAAUUCAACCACAGCUGCAGCUACAACAAGUACAGCUGCACCCACAACAACCACACCUGCUCCAACCACAGUUACAGAUGCUGCUACAACAACAGCUUCUAUCACAACAAAUUCGGCCACAACAACCACAGCUUCUCCCACCACAACAUCUACUCCAACAACGACCACAUCUGCUCCCACAACAACCACAGUUGCUGCUACAACAAAAGCUGAGGCUACAACAUUCGAAGCCCUGUCCAGAUCAACCACAACAGCUCCCACAACAACCACAGUGGCUCCCACAACAACCACAGCUGAUGUUACAACAACCACAGUGUCUCCCACAACAACCACUGCUGCUCCCCCAACAACCACAACCUAUCCCAAAACUACAGCAUUCCACACAACCACAACAGCUUCCCUUACAACAUCAACAGCUGGUCCGACAACAGUCACAGCAGCACCAAUGAUGUCUACGGAUGUGGCUUCAACGAGCACAGCUGUGGCUACAGCAAUCACGGCUGCACCCACAACAACCACAGCUUCUCCCACCACAACAUCUACUCCAACAGUGACCACAUCUGCUCCAACAACAACCACAGUUGCUGCUACAACAAAAUCUGAGGCUACAACAUUCGAAGCCCUGUCCACAUCAACCACAGCAGCUCCCACAACAACCACAGCGGCUCCCACAACAACCACAGCGGCUCCCACAACAACCACAGCUUAUGUUACAACAACCACAGCAUCUCCCACAACAACCACAGCUGCUCCCACAACAACCACAGCUGAUGUUACAACCACCACAGCUGCUCCCACAACGACCACAGCUGCUCCAACAACAACCACAACUUAUCCCAAAACUACAGCAUCUCCCACAACUACAACAGCUUCCCUUACAACAUCAUCAGCUGGUCCGACAACGAUCACAGCAGCACCAAUGAUGUCUACGGAUGCGGCAUCAAUGAGCACAACUGUGGCUACAGCAAUCACAGCUGCACCCACAACAACCAUAACUUCUCCCACCACUCCAUCAACAAUCACAUCUGCUCCCACAACAACCACAGUUGCUGCUACAAAAAAAGCUGAGGCUACAACAUUCGAAGCCCUGUCCACAUCAACCACAACAGCUCCCACAACAACCACAGCGGCUCCCACAACAACCACAGCUGAUGUAACAACAACCACAUCAUCUCCCACAACAACCACAGCUGCUCCAACAACAACCACUGUUGAUGUUACAACAACCACAGCGUCUCCCACAACAACCACAUCUGUUCCCACAACAACCACAGCUGAUUUUACAACAACCACAGCGUCUCCCACAACAACCACAGCUGCUCCAACAACAACCACUGCUGAUGUUACAACAACCAAUGCAGCUCCCACAACAACCACAGCUGAUGUUACAACAACCACAGUGUGUCCCACAAUAGUCACAGCUGCACCCGCAACAACCACAGCUUCUCCCACCACAACAUCUACUCCAACAGUGACCACAUCUGCUCCCACAACAACCACAGUUGCUGCUACAUCAAAAUCUGAGGCUACAACAUUCGAAGCCCUCUCCACAUCAACCACAGCAGCUCCCACAACAACCAAAACGGCUCCCACCACAACAUCUACUCCAACAAUGACCACAUCUGCUCCCACAACAACCACAGUUGCUGCUAAAACAAAAGCUGAGGCUACAACAUUCGAAGCCCUGUCCAGAUCAACCACAGCAGCUCCCACAACAACCACAGCGACUCCCACAACAACCACAGCGGCUCCCACAACAACCACAGCUGAUGGUACAACAACCACAGUGUCUCCCACAACAACCACUGCUGCUCCCCCAACAACCACAACUUAUCCCAAAACUACAGCAUCCCACACAACCACAACAGCUUCCCUUACAACAUCUACAGCUGGUCCGACAACGAUCACAGCAGCACCAAUGAUGUCUACGGAUGUGGCUUCAAUGAGCACAGCUGUGGCUACAGCAAUCACAGCUGCACCCACAACAACCACAGCUUCUCCCACCACAACAUCUACUCCAACAACGACCACAUCUGCUCCCACAACAACCACAGUUGCUGCUACAAAAAAAGCUGAGGCUACAACAUUCGAAGCCCUGUCCACAUCAACCACAGCAGCUCCCACAACAACCACAGAUGCACCCAUAAAAACCACAGCUGCUCCCAUAACUACAGCUGCUCCCACAAACACAUCAGCUUCCCUUACUUUAAACACAGCUUCCCCCAAAACAACCACAGCUGCAGCUACAAGUACAGCUGCACCCACAACAGCCACACUUGCUCCAACCACAAUCCCAGCUGCUGCUACAACAACAGCUUCUAAUACAUCAAUAACAGCUUCGACCACAACGACCAAAGCUGCUCCCACAACAACCACAGCUUACCCCACAUCAACCACAGUGGAUCCCACAACAACCACAGCGUCUCCCACAACAACCACAGCUGGUGUUACAACAACAACAGCGGCUCCCACAACAACCACAGCGACUCCCACAACAACCACAGCGGCUCCCACUGCAACAGCUCCCAUAGCAACAACAAAAGCUGAUGUAACAACCACCACUGCUGCCCCUACCACAACUACAGCUAACCCCAAAACAACCACAACUUCUCCCACAACCACAACAGCUUCCCUUACAACAACCACAACUGAUCCCACAAUGUCAACAACAUCACCAAUAACAUCUACAGCUUCAACAAGCACAGCUGUGGAUUCAACAAUCACAGCUGCAUCCACAAACACAGCUUCUCCCACCACAACAUCUACUCCAACAACGACCACAGUUGCUACUACAACAAAAGCUGAGGCUACAACAUUUGAAGCCCUGUCCACAUCAACCACAGACACUCUCAGAACAACCACAAUUGCACCCACAAAAACCACAACUUCUCCCAUAACUACAGCAGCUCCCACAACCACAACAGUUUCCCUUACUACAACCACAGCUUCCCCCAAUGCAACCACAGCUGCACCCACAACAACCACAGCUGCAGCUACAACAAGUACAGCUGCACCCACAACAACCACACCUGCUCCAACCACAAUUACAGAUGCUGCUACAACAACAGCUUCUAUCACAACAACCACAGCUUCUACCACAACAACCACAGCGGCUCCCACAUCAACCGCAGCGACUCCCACAACAACCACAGUGGCUCCCACAACAACAACACCUGAUGUUACAACAACCACAGCGUCUCCUACAACAACCCCUGCUGAUGUUACAACAACUACAGCUGCUCCCACAACCACAACAGUUUCCCUUACUUCAACCACAGCUUCCCCCAAUACAACCACAGCUGCAGCUACAACAAGUACAUCUGCAACCACAACAACAACACCCACUCCAACCACAAUCACAGCUGCAGCUACAACAACAGCUUCGAUCACAACAACAACAGUUUUGACCACAACAACCACAGAUUUUACCACAACAACCACAGCUGCUCCCACUACAUCCACAGCUGCAGCUACAACAAGUACAGCAGCACCCACUACAACCACAGCGGCUCCCACUACAACCACAGGGGCUCCCACUUCAACCAUAGUGGCUCCCACUACAACCACAGCUGCUCCCACUACAACCACAGCGGCUCCCGCUACAACCACAGCGGCUCCCACUACAACAGCUCCCAUAGCAAUAACAACAGCUGAUGUAACAACCACCACUGCUGGCCCUAUCAUAACCACAGCUAACCCCAAAACCACCACAACUUCUCCCACAACCACAACAGGUUCCCUUACAACAACCACAGCUGUUCCCACAAUGGCAACAGCAACACCAAUAACAUCUACAGCUUCAACAACCACAGCUGUGGCAACAACAAUCACAGCUGCAUCCGCAAACACAGCUUCUCCCACCACACCAUCUACUCCAACGACGACCACAUCUACUCCCACAACAACCACAGUUGCUGCUACAACAAAAGCUGAGGCAACAACAACCACAGCUACGCUCACAACAUACUCAGCUUCUCCCACAACAACCACAACUGCUAGCAUAACAAUAGAUUCUCCCACUACUACCACAGCUGCUCCCACUACAACCACAAUGGCUCCCACUACAACCAUAGUGGCUCCCACUACAACCAUAGCGGCUCCCACUAAAACCACAGCGGCUCCCACUACAACCACAGCGGCUCCCACUAUAACCACAGCGGCUCCCACUACAACCACAGCGGCUCCCACUACAACAGCUCCCAUAGCAAUAACAACAGCUGAUGUAACCACUGCUGGCCCUACCACAACCACAACUAAACCCAAGACAACCACAACUUCUCCCACAACCACAACAGAUUCACUUACAACAACCACAGCUGUUCCCACAAUGUCAACAGCAACACCAAUACCAUCUACAGCUUCAACAAGCACAGCUGUGGCAACAACAAUCACAGCUGCAUCCGCAAACACAGCUUCUCCCACCACAACAUCUACUCCCACAACAACCACAGCUUACCCCACAACUACCACAGCGGCUCCCACAACAUCCACAGCAUCUCCCACAAGAAUCACAGCUGUUCCCACAAUGUCAACAGCAACACCAAUAACAUCUACAGCUUCAACAAGCACAGUUGUGGCAACAACAAUCACAGCUGCAUCCACAAACACAGCUUCUCCCACCACAACAUCUACUCCCACAACAACCACAGCUUACCCCACAUCUACCACAGCUGCACCCACAACAACCACAGCUUCUCCCACCACACCAUCUACUCCAACAACGACCAUAUCUGCUCCCACAACAACCACAGAGGCUACAACAUUCGAAGCCCUGUCCACAUCAACCACAGACGCUCUCAGAACAACCACAAUAGCUGCAGCUACAACAAGUACAGCUGCACCCACAACAACCACACCUGCUCCAACCACAAUCACAGCUGCUGCUACAACAACAGCUUCUAUCACAACAACAACAGCUUCGACCACAACAACCACAACUUCUCCCACAACAACAACAACUUAUCCCAAAACUACAGCAACCACAACCACAACAGCUUCCCUUACAACAUCCACAGCUGGUGCUAUGACAACAACAGCCAACCCCACAACAACUACAGUUGCUCCAACAACAACCACAGCUGCCCAUUUAACAACCACAGCAGUACCAACUUCAACCACAGCAGUACCAAUGUCAACAACAGCGGCUGCCACUACAACCCCAGCUUACCCGUCGACAACCACAGUUGCUGCAACGACCACCAAUGUCACCCCCAAAACAACCCCAGCUGCUACCACAAUAACCACAGCAGCUGCCACAACAAUCACAGCUUAUCCCACUUUAACCACUGCCGCAACCACAACAACCGCAGCAGCAACAACAACUUCAGCUCCUGCUCCCACAACAACAGUGGCUCACUCAACAAUUAGAGCUGCCCCCACAUCAACUACAGCUGCUGCUACAAUAACAAUAGUUGUUCCCACUACAACUACAACUGCCACCACAACAACAACAGCAGCUUUUGCCACAAGGACAACAGCUGCUGUAACUACCAGCACAGCUGGCGCUACCACAACUACAUCUAACUCCACAACAACCACCAUUGCCCCUACAACUACCAAUGCCGCUCCCACAACGACCACAGCUUCACCAUCAACAACAAAAACUCUUGCUCCAACAACUACUGUUUCCCCAACCACCGCAUCCACUGACCCUCCAACGUCAAAUGAAGGUGUACUUAUUCUACAGUUCCGGAUGAAUCGACAAUUUUUGGAAGCCUACAAAAAUCCACAGUCCCAGGAUUACUUUACUUUGGCUUUAAAUGUCACAACUGAGUUGAAUCAAGGAUACAAAACGGUAUAUCCUGGAAUCUUCCUCAGAUGCAUCAUCAUCAGUUUCUGGUCUGGUUCUGUGGGUGUGACAACCAAGUUGAUCUUCGCAAAUCAGUCAGUUGUCCCUCAAAUUAGGAAUAUAGAAGAAUCCCUCAAGACAUCCAUCAACACGUCCACAGUCUUCUUAGAUGUUAUUACUGACAGUAUCAAAGCGGAAUUCCAGAAUUCCACGACUACUACUACUGCAACCACCACAACAGCAGCUACACAAACUACAGUGGCUGCACCUACCUAUAGCAGCACUAUGGCAAGAAACAGACCUCAAGAAGUGGUCACUUUACUACUGGUUUUAAUGCUGAUCUGUUUCUUCUUAACAGAAUAACUCUAGGACUCAAUUAAACCCAUUAAGUAUAACAUAUUCUAUAAUAAAGGCAUAUAUAACUUCAGCUAUUAAGAUUAAGAUAUGUUAAGAAACGACUAAUAAUCAAAUAGUAAUAUCUUAGUUAAAGUAAUUGCUUGUCUAUAUGAUUAUGUAUAAAACUGUUUGUCUAAUUUAUUUUUAUAAAAUGUACCUCAAGAGAAAAUAAUUCAGAAAAUAAUGCUGUUAAUGUAAUGAAGCUGAAUGUAAAUGUGUGAUGUAUUUCUAUUUAUAUGUUGUUUUAGUAUAUUGCAAUAGACUAUGAAUAAUGUAAUAGAAUAUAAAUACAUUUGUAUAUUAUGAAAUGAACUAAGCAAAUUAUACAAUUCUUGGAAACCUAAUUGUCUAUUCUGUAAUAUAUAGUUUCUUCCUAAUUGUAACCCAACUCUCGGCAUACAUUGCAAUCUUUGGAAAUUACUUUGAAAACCCUUGAAUAAAUAAUGCCAAAGAAAAACACAUAAAUAAAUACACUUUAGACUGUAGAUGUAUUGUAAUAAUACUUAAAUAAACACAAAUUGAUCUUA